rnacentral:lncRNA from 10 species
GAACAACCUAGCUUUGAUGCAGUUGCUGCUCCCCUCUGAGGGGGCUCUGGCCCCUCCGAAGGCCAUCCCAAUGGUCUGAAUGGAAAACUACCAUGAAGGCAUCUCUUCUCGUGGUAAAGGCAUGACUGGAAAGGGUCUUAAGAGUGGAGCAGUUGUCCUCAACCAGGCAAUUGUGUUUUUCCCUUGCCCCCUCCCUGGGGACAUCUGACAAUGUCUGGAGUAAUUUUUGAUCAUCAGAACGAGGGUAAAGGUGCUAUUGGCAUCUCAUAGGUAGUGGUCAGGGGUGCUGCAGAAAAAUCCUCCACUACAAAGAGUUAUCCAGCCCCAAAUUUCAGUAGUGCUGAGGUUGAGAAACACAGAGCUGACGCAGGGAGAGGUGUCUAAGGCAGCCACAAAAAGGGGUCAGGCUGGUCUCAAACUACUGGCCUCAAGCAAUCUUCCAGUCUCAGCCUCCAAAAGUGCUGGGAUUACAGAAAUGAGCCAUUGUGCCCUGCUGCGUGUUGCAUAUUAAAAGAGUCUCGUUCCGUUACCCAGGCUGGAGUGCAGUGGCACGAUCUUGGCUCGCUGCAAACCUCCACCUCCCAGGUUCAAGCGAUUCUCCUGCCUCAGCCUCCCGAGUAGCUGGGACUACAGACAUGCACCGCCACGCCUGGCUAAUUCUUAUAUUUUUAAUAGAGAUGGGGUUUCACCGUGAUGGCCAGGCUGGUCUCAAACUCCUGAUAUCAAGUUAUCUGCCUGUCUUGGGAUUACAAGCGUGAGCCAACACGCCCGGCC